rnacentral:rRNA from 1 species
UACAGAGGUGGCAAGCGUUGUUCGGAAUUACUGGGCGUAAAGGGCGCGUAGGCGGCCUUCUUAGUCGGACGUGAAAUCCCCAGGCUCAACUUGGGAACUGCGUCCGAUACUGGAUGGCUUGAGUGCGGGAGAGGGAUGUGGAAUUCCGCGUGUAGCAGUGAAAUGCGUAGAUAUGCGGAGGAACACCGAUGGCGAAGGCAAUCCCCUGGGCCUGCACUGACGCUCAUGCACGAAAGCGUGGGGAGCAAAAAGG